rnacentral:rRNA from 1 species
AUGGUGCGGAUGGCCCGUGCCUUCUCAUCCUUCGACUGCGACAGCGACGGCAAGAUCUCGGCGGCCGAGCUGCGGCUCUACGUGGAGGCGACGCUCGGCGACGGCAUAUCGGCCGAGGACGCCGCGGCGCUCGUGGAGUCGGUGGACGCGGACGGCGACGGGCUGCUCAGCGAGGAGGAGUUCCUGAAGCUGGCGGCCGAGGGGGAGGGGGGAGAAGAGGACCAGAGGCGCAGGGGUCUGAGGGACGCGUUCGGGGUGUACGAGGUGGAGGGGAGAGGGUGCAUCACGCCGGCCAGCCUGAGGCGGGCGCUGAGCCGGCUGGGCGCCAGCCGGGACGUCGGCGACUGCCGCGCCAUGAUCCAGAGGUUCGAUCUCAACGGAGUCGGGGUGCUCACCUUCGACGAGUUCGAGACCAUGAUGGACUCGUAG